rnacentral:rRNA from 1 species
UUGACCUCGGAUCAGGUAGGGAUACCCGCUGAACUUAAGCAUAUCAUAGGGCGGAGGAA